GGUUUUUUUUGAUACCAUAAAAGUUUUAUUCUAGCUAGAAAGUUCUCUGCCAGAUUGUUUCACAUGUAACUUUUAGGGAGGAAGAUAGUACAAUCUAAAGGAUUGAACAAUAUUUCCAGUUAUUCACAGUGUUUGGUAUUGGUUGAUCAAGAAACCUUGGAACCAGUAAUUUUGCUAAUUCCGGCAAAACUCGUGCCAGCCGCCGCGGUUACACGAAGGGGGUAAGAGUAUUUUAUUGGUUUGUAAUUAAUUUUAUUGUAAGGUUGGAAGAGAAGUUUUAUUAGGUGAAAUUUUAAACUUGGAAUUAGCCUAGGGUUGUUUAAAUGAAGUUAUGAAGUUUAGGGAAUAAACUGGGAUUAGAUACCCCAUUAUUCUAAAAGUUAAAAUUAAGCCAGAGUAGUAAUAGUUAUGUUCUCAAAACUCAAAGAAUUUGGCGGUGUUUUAAUCCGGUCAGAGGAACCUGUCCCGUAAUCGAUAAUCCACGUUUAUUUAACUUAAUUUUGUAUUCAGCUUGUAUACCGCCGUCAGAAGAGUGAUUCGAGAGAAUACCCUCAAGGUUCUUAAAUAAGAAAGAUGUCAGGUCAAGGUGCAGUUUAUGGUUAAGGGGAGAUGGGUUACAAUAAUGAUAGUUAUACGAAAAUUUUCUUGUAAGAGAAGGUUGAAGGUGGAUUUGGAUGUAAUAAGGGAUAAUAACCUUUUAUGAUACCGGCUCUAAAACAAGCACACAUCGCCCGUCGCUCUCGUUUUUUAAGGCGAGAUAAGUCGUAACAUAGUAGAUGUACCGGAAGGUGUCUCUAGAAAGU
rnacentral:ncRNA from 1 species